AGACACAACAGUGUACAGAGUAUGCCCCCUUAAUGCUCGGUUUUGAUUCGUGGAUAGUUUUGGGAGAGUGUCACAAUCAGCUGACGAGAGGAAAUAUGGAGGAACUCCCUCUGGACGAUGGUAUUAAACCGGCAGCCCCGACAGACACACAAGCGGACGUCAAAAAGUCCCCCAAAAAGAAGUCCAUCUUCAAAAGAUUAUUCAAACGUCGUUUCAAGAGGAAAGAAAAUACCGGUUUCAAAGAUAGCAAAAAGAAAUCUUCAUUUUUGCACAAAGUGUUUAGGAGGUUAGGCAACAUGUAUAACUUGAGAGAUACGGAAACUACUGUGCUGUAAUCCUUGUGUUGUAAAUAAAAAAAAUAGUCACAGCUGCCAUACUUUUGUUACAUGUCAUGUUUGUAUAUACUACCUUCUGUCACUGGUGCUCUCCAGUGAAUAGAAUACAUGCAUCCAUAACCAUACACGUAGGCCACACGUGGGGGAGUUCACCACGUAUCUCGCCAAAGGUUGGUUAGACAUAUAAGGUACGAUCAACGUUAGGAAUGCGUGUACAUCAUCUUACUGGACUUGUAGACCUGGAGGUUCACGUCCCACGGUCUCACUUUGAAAGGCAUUAAUGCAAUCCAUGAGACGC